rnacentral:rRNA from 1 species
GUCUGCAUGGAGCCGACCUUGAAAUACCACCCUUUAAUGUUUGAUGUUCUAACGUGGACCCGUAAUCCGGGUUGCGGACAGUGUCUGGUGGGUAGUUUGACUGGGGCGGUCUCCUCCUAAAGAGUAACGGAGGAGCACGAAGGUUGGCUAAUCCUGGUCGGACAUCAGGAGGUUAGUGCAAUGGCAUAAGCCAGCUUGACUGCGAGCGUGACGGCGCGAGCAGGUGCGAAAGCAGGUCAUAGUGAUCCGGUGGUUCUGAAUGGAAGGGCCAUCGCUCAACGGAUAAAAGGUACUCCGGGGAUAACAGGCUGAUACCGCCCAAGAGUUCAUAUCGACGGCGGUGUUUGGCACCUCGAUGUCGGCUCAUCACAUCCUGGGGCUGAAGUAGGUCCCAAGGGUAUGGCUGUUCGCCAUUUAAAGUGGUACGCGAGCUGGGUUUAGAACGUCGUGAGACAGUUCGGUCCCUAUCUGCCGUGGGCGCUGGAGAACUGAGGGGGGCUGCUCCUAGUACGAGAGGACCGGAGUGGACGCAUCACUGGUGUUCGGGUUGUCA